GACGAACCGUGCAAACGUUGUUCGGAAUCACUGGGCUUAAAGGGCGCGUAGGCGGAUGAGCAAGUCUGUGGUGAAAUCCCCCGGCUUAACCGGGGAACUGCCGUGGAUACUGCACAUCUCGAGGAAGAUAGGGGCGUCUGGAACUAGCGGUGGAGCGGUGAAAUGCGUUGAUAUCGCUAGGAACUCCGGUGGCGAAGGCGAGACGCUGGAUCUUUUCUGACGCUGAGGCGCGAAAGCCAGGGAGCGAACGGG
rnacentral:rRNA from 1 species